GUGGAGCGGUGACCCGCCUUUUACACCUGGACACACCUGGACACACCUGUGGGGACUUUUAGUGUAUUUCCGCCUUUAACUCAGGUUGUUGUUGUUUGGAGUGACUUUUAUUGUGCUACUCUGAGUGUUAAGUGGAUGAAAGAAAACUGUGACAACACUGAGUGUUCAAUAAAUCACCGCAGUCAUCAGAUCUGCUGGCAAAGAAGACAUAUCCUGUCCUCAUUCCUGUGUCCUGACCAACACCGCAUCUUGUUUGCUGUAUAACCCUAAACCAGCUAGAAUUAGUCCUUCCCUCACAAACAGUUGUAAUGAAACCUUUUAUCAUUGAUAGUGACCUUGUAAUUGACUUCAUUUGCACUUCAUCUCUGCUAUGCUGAAAAUAUUCUUUCAAGAGUCAGAGUCCAUCCAGGAUAUUCUUACUGUUGAUUUAAGCUGGUUCUAGAGGUGUAAUGUUGUCCAGUGGGGAUAAUAGUUUAUUGAACGCGUUUGUGAGGUAAUUUGUAUCUGAAUGAAAUGUCAAUCUGUCCAUGACAUCAUUAAAGAGUGGAAUGAAA